rnacentral:rRNA from 1 species
GAUGAACGCUAGCGAUAGGCUUAACACAUGCGAGUCGAGGGGCAGCACAAGGUAGCUUGCUCUCUGGGUGGCGACCGGCGCACGGGUGCGUAACGCGUAUGCAACUUGCCCUAUACAGGAGGAUAACCCGUCGAAAGACGGACUAAUACUGCGUAUGCUCACAACUUGGCAUCAAGUGGUGAGGAAAGAAAUUCGGUAUAGGAUAGGCAUGCGUCCCAUUAGCUUGUUGGUGAGGUAACGGCUCACCAAGGCAACGAUGGGUAGGGGAACUGAGAGGUUUAUCCCCCACACUGGUACUGAGACACGGACCAGACUCCUACGGGAGGCAGCAGUGAGGAAUAUUGGUCAAUGGGCGCGAGCCUGAACCAGCCAAGUCGCGUGAAGGAUGACUGUCUUAUGGAUUGUAAACUUCUUUUAUACGGGAAUAACAAGAGUCACGUGUGACUCCCUGCAUGUACCGUAUGAAUAAGCAUCGGCUAACUCCGUG